rnacentral:lncRNA from 1 species
AAAAGAAUAGGAAAAAAAGAAAAAAUUAUACUCACUGAAGAAUUUAGUAAAAAAUUAAUUAAAAAUAUACAUUAUGAAUACUGUCAUAUAGGGGUGAAACAAAUAGAAAAUAAAAUCAAACCAUUUUAUACAGCAAAAAAUUUAAUAAACAAUAUAAAAAAUAUUUGUGAUAAUUGUGAAAUAUGUUUAAAAAAUAAAACUAGAACUAAAUUUAAAUUUGGAUUAAUGUCUCAUCUAGGCCCUGCCACCUACCCUUUUGAAAUAGUCUCUAUAGAUACUAUUGGUGGAUUUGGUGGAUCUCGCUCUACAAAAACAUAUUUACAUAUUUUAGUGGACCAUUUAACCAGAUAUGCUUACAUUUUAACAUCUAAAACACAAAAUGCAAACGACUUUAUAAAGCUUGUAAAAAAAGUUAUCCCUGAAAAUAAAAUUGGAAUGAUUCUGUCUGAUCAAUACCCAGGCAUAAACUCAAAAGAAUUUAAAGGUUUUUUAAUAAAAGAAAAUAUACCAAUUAUCUUUACCGCAGUAAAUGCACCUUUCUCCAACGGUUUAAAUGAACGUUUAAAUCAAACAAUAGUUAACAAAAUUAGAUGUAAAAUUAAUGAAAAGAAAGAUAAAAUGGCUUGGACGACUAUAGCUCAUGAAUGUAUACAGAAAUAUAAUGAGACUGAACACACAGUUACAGGAUUCUCCCCAGUAUAUUUACUAGAAGGAAAAGUUAUUAAUAUCUUACCAGAUGAAUUAAAAGAAAAGAAGUUACAAAGUGAUUUAUUACAAGACAGAAAAAUAGCUUUAGAGAGAACUAUUAAAUCUCACAACUACAAUAAACAAAAAUUUGAUAAAAACAGGAAAAGUUGUCAGUUAAAAGUAGGUGAUUUAGUAUAUGUAGAAAAUGGAAACCGGUUAAAUAGAAAAAAAACUAGAUGAAAUAAAAAUUGGACCAUAUAAAAUAUUAGAAAAAUUAUCAAACUCAAUUUAUAAGAUAGAUACAGGUUACAAAAAAAUUGAAUCAAACUAUUUCCACAUUACCAAAAUUAUACCAAUAAAAAACUAAUUAUCUGCAAUUAUAAGGGGGGGAGGGGAGAUGUAAAUGAAACUCUUUGGUUCGUCAUUUAAAUUUACCGCGCUUUCUCCAUAUAUUAUCUGUGGUGACGGCAAAACGAUUUGUCUGGAUUGUCUAACAUGGAGAUUGCACUUGAUUAAUUACUUACUAAUAAGUUAACUAAUAAGAAACUAUAAAUAAAUAAGAUUGUUUGAAGCAAUAGCAUUAAAUGUUGUUUCUCUUUACAGAGCAACAACUUGGCAAUUGUUUCACUUAUUACA